rnacentral:rRNA from 1 species
UCGGGAAUUUUGGGCAAUGGGCGAAAGCCUGACCCAGCAACGCCGCGUGUGUGAAGAAGGCCUUCGGGUUGUAAAGCACUUUUAUCAGGAACGAAAAGCGUGGGGUUAAUACCUUUACGUGCUGACGGUACCUGAGGAAUAAGCACCGGCUAACUUCGUGCCAGCAGCCGCGGUAAUACGAAGGGUGCAAGCGUUAAUCGGAAUUACUGGGCGUAAAGCGUGCGUAGAUGGUUUGUUAAGUCGGAUGUGAAAGCCCCGGGCUCAACCUGGGAACUGCAUCCGAUACUGGCAGACUAGAGUGUGGUAGAGGAUGGCGGAAUUCCCGGUGUAGCGGUGAAAUGCGUAGAUAUCAAGAGGAACACCUGAGGUGAAGACGGGUUGCUGGGCUGACACUGACGCUGAGGCGCGAAAGCCAGGGGAGCAAACGGGGAUUAGAUACCCCGGUAGUCCCUGAGCGGGCUGGCAAGGCG